UUUUUUAUUUAUUUAUGAUUUGGUAUGGUAAACUCUUCUCCAUGUGUGUGAGUGUGCAUAAGCAGGCACUGGGUGUGUGUUUAAUAUGAAGUUAAAUCACACAAUUUAAUGAAUUGCCUAAGAUAACUUUUGUUCUAGUGUUGAAAGAAGGAAAUAAAUGCUCUUAUUAGCCCUUGUGUAACAUGAAGCGUGAUUCUCCUACUAACACUGGUUUUUCUGAUGUGUCUUAAGAUGGGCAACAUGGUGUGCAAUGAUGAUUUAUCUUGAACACCAAAGCUUAGCAGCUUCUGAUGGCUUGCCUAUUAUUUCUCUUGAGGUUCAGUAUUUAGAUGUUAGCAUGCAGCAUUUUCUCAACUAAAUGUAGAUGCAGGCUUGGCGUGAAAUAUUGAUGUUCUUUGUGUCAUUUAUUGAAUAAAUCCAGCUAAUUAUGUGUUGAUGUGCCAUCUUACUUUUACAUGCUGGCAAUUCCAGAAUAAAAAGUGGAUAACACUGUGUUGGCGUUACUCAUUUAUGUUUAGGUUCAAUGAAUUUGGAGAGGAUGGCGGCCCUGCCACAAAGGAGUUAAUACCCAAGCUUGCUACUUUCAACAAACACCUUUCCUAAUUGGGAGUAGUGUUGUCAGAUAUUGAUCCUAGAAAUCUUGUUGCGAGCAUUAUCGUACUAUAAGGUCCUGGAGGUUUUCUCUUUAUAUUUGGCACCCCAUUUGGUGCUUAUCUCCUGGUUAGUAUUUCCUUUCUUCUGGCUCUUGAUAUGAUCUGCCUUUAGAAUGUUAAGAAGUUACUGCUAACUUUCUCAUACCAGCUGACAUGGAUUCGUAUGAUAAUUAAUGAAGUAAUGGUCUAAUUAUUUAUUUGCUUUAGCUUCUCCACUUGGCAAUUACCUCUCCGCUCCUGUAUGACUUCUACAAUUAUCUUCAGGAUGAGGCUGAGUACUUCAUUCUCUUGAAUGAAUUCUUGCAGGUUUGUUUUGAAGUUGUGAGAGUUUAGCUUAGCGUCCUAUUCAAUUUUUUUAGGCAUUUGCACAUGUAAAUCUCAUUUAUUUGUUUUAUGAUCUUUUUGGCAGAGUGUUGCACUUUUCGGUGCAUUGCUUUUCUUCAUAGGGAUGAAAAACUUGAUUCCAAAGAGACUAAUCAAGAAGAAGGCCCCCAAGGCAAAAGUGGGUUAAGUGUGUGAAGAAGCAACUUUAAAGAAUGGAUUAUCAUUGCAGGUGCUUAAAUUUUACUGGGUGUCAACUGGCUGCACAUAUCAUAUUUAUAGAUGGUUCUGAAGCUAUUUAUGCGACAACCCAAAUUUGUAGUUCUUUCUUCUUGGGGUUGUUAAGACUGAUAGUCCAUGUAUUAUCAUUUCACAGCCUGAAUGGCCACGGUAUACAUUUCAUUUUGUCCAGUAGAAUUUCUGUUUGAGCAAGAAUUUUAUGAUUUUCAUGAAUUGGUGAAACUUCUGUUUUGAUUUGUGAUGAGGGAUCAUAGAUUAAAUUUUCGUUAUCUAUUGGCAACCCAUUAGCAUCACAUCCCAUGUGUAUUUUAAUACCCCUCCGGCAGUGAAGCCUAAUGGGUACGGAUCCCAUGCGAAUUUGACUUCCUCUGGACUCUUUAUAGAGUCUGAGAAGUGAUGAGUCUGAUAUAUGCAGUAGAAGCAAGAGAAGAGGCGCCUGAGUGCAUGGUGAUUGUCUUAGGACCUGGAAAAUGAAAAUACUCAUACAGAUGCUAAAAUUACAAAGGGGAAAAUCACUGUCGGAAGGACUGAUUAGAAAACGCCUGGCGCCGAGCAU
rnacentral:misc_RNA from 1 species